AGUGGAAUUGCUGGGUCAUAUGAUAACUCUGUCUUCAACUUUUUGAGGAACUGCCAAACUGUUUUCCAAAGCAGCUGCAUCAUUUUAUAUUCCAACCAGCAAU
rnacentral:pre_miRNA from 1 species